rnacentral:rRNA from 1 species
UCAGGUAGUAACAGAGGGUUGAUCAUGGCCUGGGGAUUGAACGCUGGCGGAUGCUUUAUACAUGCAAGUCGAACGGCAGCACGGACUUCGGUCUGGUGGCGAGUGGCGAACGGGUGAGUAAUGUAUCGGAACGUGCCUAGUAGCGGGGGAUAACUACGCGAAAGCGUAGCUAAUACCGCAUACGCCCUUCGGGGGAAAGUGGGGACCGGGCCGCGCACUAUUAGAGCGGCCGAUAUCGGAUUAGUUGCUAGUUGGUGGGGUAACGGCUCACCAAGGCGACGAUCCGUAGCUGGUUUGAGAGGACGACCAGCCACACUGGGACUGGAGAUGUCUGACCUGCUGGAUGCGGGAAUUUUGACAAUGGGGGAAAUCCCUGAUCCGCGCCAACUGCAAGAUGAAGGCCUUCGGGUUGUAAAGCACUUUAGACAGGGAAAGAAAUGGACGGGAUAAUACCCCGUGCAACGAGACGAAAUGGGGCAGACAGCAACCACAACUAUGCCAGCAGCUAUGUAAUAUGUAGGUGCUGUUAACUAACGACAAGGUAAAGCGUAAAAGGUAUACCGGAAAGAAAGAUGUGAAAUCCCAGAGCUUAACUUUGGAACUGCAUUUUUUGAAUGCCUUGUUUGUAGAGUGUGUCAGAGGGUGUGGAAUUCAUGGUAGCAGUGAAAAUGCGUAUUAUGCGGAGGAACACCGAUGGCGAAGGCAGCCUCCUGGGAUAACACUGACGCUCAUGCACGAAAGCGUGGGGAGCAAACAGAUUAGAUACCCUGGUAGUCCAACGCCCUAAACGAUGUCAACUAGCUGUUGGGGUCAGCCUGCAGCGCAGCUAAUUGCGGAAGCGACCGCCCGUGGGAGCAUGGCUGUAAGAUUAAAACCUGCUAUCUGACUGGGACCGCACAAGCGGUGGAUGAUGUGGAUUAAUUCGAUGCAACGCGAAAAACCUUACCUACCCUUGACAUGUCUGAAUCCCGAAGAGAUUUGGGAGUGCUCGCAAGAGAACCGGAACAGUUGCAUGGCUGUCGUCAGGUUUCCCGUGUCGUGAGAUGUUGCUGAAACCUCAACGAGCGUGCAACUCCUUUGUCAUUAGUUGCUACGAAAGGGCACUCUAAUGAGACUGCCGGUGACAAACCGAGGAAGGUGGGGAUGACGUCAAGUCCUCAUGGCUCCCAGGUAGAGCUUCGGCCACGUCAUACAAUGGUCGGGGAUGAGGGUCGCCAACCCGCGAGGGGAGCCAAUCCCAGAACCCGAUCGUAGUCCGGAUCGCAGUCUGCAACUCGACUGCGUGAAGUCGGAAUCGCCAGUAAUCGCGGAUCGGGCAUGUCGCGGUGAAUACGUUCCCGGUCUUGUACACACUGCCCGUCACACCAUGGGAGUGGGUUUUACCAGAAGUAGUUAGCCUAACCGUAAGGAGUGGCGAUUACCACGGUAGGAUUCAUGACUGGGGUGAAGUCGUAACAAGGUAA